AUUGAACGCUGGCGGCAGGCUUAACACAUGCAAGUCGAACGAGUGGCGGACGGGUGAGUAAUGUAUGGGAAACUGCCUGAUGGAGGGGGAUAACUACUGGAAACGGUAGCUAAUACCGCAUACCAUCAGAUGUGCCCAGAUGGGAUUAGCUUGUUGGUGGGGUAACGGCUCACCAAGGCGACGAUCCCUAGCUGGUCUGAGAGGAUGACCAGCCACACUGGAACUGAGACACGGUCCAGACUCCUACGGGAGGCAGCAGUGGGGAAUAUUGCACAAUGGGGGCAAGCCUGAUGCAGCCAUGCCGCGUGUAUGAAGAAGGCCUUCGGGUUGUAAAGUACUUUCAGCGGGGAAGCGUUACCCGCAGAAGAAGCACCGGCUAACUACGUGCCAGCCGCCGCGGUAAUUC
rnacentral:rRNA from 1 species